rnacentral:rRNA from 1 species
GACGAACGCUGGCGGCGUGCUUAACACAUGCAAGUCGAACGAUGAAGAAGAGAAGCGCGAACUUCGGUUCAAAUUUCACUUCGGAUUAGUGGCAGACGGGUGAGUAACGCGUGAGCAACCUACCUCUUACAAAGGGAUAGCCUCGGGAAACCGUGAUUAAUACCAUAUGACACAUUCAUAAGGCAUCUUAAGAAUGUUAAAGCUACGGCGGUAAGAGAUGGGCUCGCGUCCCAUUAGCUAGUUGGUGAGGUAGCGGCCCACCAAGGCGACGAUGGGUAACCGGCCUGAGAGGGUGAACGGUCACAUUGGAACUGAGACACGGUCCAAACUCCUACGGGAGGCAGCAGUGGGGAAUAUUGCACAAUGGAGGGAACUCUGAUGCAGCGACGCCGCGUGAGCGAUGAAGGAAUUCGUUUCGUAAAGCUCUGUUCUAUGGGAAGAAAAGGACUGUACCAUAGGAGAAAGCCCCGGCUAAAUACGUG